ACCUACGGGGGGCAGCAGUGGGGAGUAUUGCACAAUGGGGGAAACCCUGAUGCAGCGACGCCGCGUGAGCGAAGAAGUAUUUCGGUAUGUAAAGCUCUAUCAGCAGGGAAGAAAAAUGACGGUACCUGAGUAAGAAGCACCGGCUAAAUACGUGCCAGCAGCCGCGGUAAUACGUAUGGUGCAAGCGUUAUCCGGAUUUACUGGGUGUAAAGGGAGCGCAGGCGGUGCGGCAAGUCUGAAGUGAAAGGCAGGGGCUUAACCCCUGAACUGCUUUGGAAACUGCCAUGCUAGAGUGCUGGAGAGGU
rnacentral:rRNA from 1 species